CUCCUGUGACUUUUUUGGAGGGGUUGCAUCAUUGUAGUUACAGAAAACUUAUUAUCCUGAUGCUGAGAAGCAAACACUUUAAGAGGUUGGUCAUAACUUUCCUUCCAAGGAGUAAGUGUCUUUUAAUUUCAUGGCUGCAAUCACCAUCUGCACGACCAAGAUAAUCACGAUAGUGUGAUCACUCACCUAGAGCCAGACAGCCUGGAAUGUGAAGUCAAGUGGGUCUUAGAAAGCAUCACUAUGAACAAAGCUAGCGGAAGUGAUGGAAUUCCAGUGGAGCUAUUUCAAAUCCUCAAAGAUGAUGCUACAAAAGUGCUGCACUCAAUAUCCCAGCAAGUUUGGAAAACUGAGCAGUGACCCCAGGACUGGAAAAGGUCAGUUUUCAUCCCAUUCCAAAGAAAGGCAAUGCCAAAGAAUGCUCAAACUACUGCACCAUUGCACUCAUCUCACACGCUAGUAAAGUAUUGCUCAAAAUUCUCCAAGCCAGACUUCAGCAAUACGUCAACCAUG
ensembl:lncRNA